rnacentral:rRNA from 1 species
UACGUAGGGGGCAAGCGUUGUCCGGAUUUAUUGGGCGUAAAGAGCGUGUAGGCGGCCAGGUAGGUCAGCUGUGAAAACUCGAGGCUCAACCUCGAGACGUCGGUUGAAACCACCUGGCUAGAGUCCGGAAGAGGAGAGUGGAAUUCCUGGUGUAGCGGUGAAAUGCGCAGAUAUCAGGAAGAACACCCGUGGCGAAGGCGGCUCUCUGGGCCUUACCUGACGCUGAGGCGCGAAAGCUAGGGGAGCGAACAGG